UAAAACAGCAAUAAUUUCUUCGAUGGUAACUUACUAUACGGAUAACCGUAGUAAUUCUAGAGCUAAUACGUGCCAUAAACGCGGGGUAACUCGUGGUGCUAAUUAGAUAACAACACCAACAUAUGGUGAUUCAUAAUUUUCUUUCUGAUCGCUGAUUCUUCGGCGACGCAUCGUUCAAAUUU
rnacentral:rRNA from 1 species